rnacentral:rRNA from 1 species
AUUGAACGCUGGCGGCAUGCCUUACACAUGCAAGUCGAACGGCAGCGGGCCUUCGGGUGCCGGCGAGUGGCGAACGGGUGAGUAAUGCAUCGGAACGUGCCAUUGAGUGGGGGGAUAACGUAGCGAAAGUUACGCUAAUACCGCAUAUUCUGUGAGCAGGAAAGCAGGGGACCGCAAGGCCUUGCGCUCUUUGAGCGGCCGAUGUCAGAUUAGCUAGUUGGUGAGGUAACGGCUUACCAAGGUGACGAUCUGUAGCGGGUCUGAGAGGAUGAUCCGCCACACUGGAACUGAGACACGGUCCAGACUCCUACGGGAGGCAGCAGUGGGGAAUAUUGCGCAAUGGGCGAAAGACCUGACGCAGCCACGCCGCGUGAGCGAUGAAGGCCU